UACGUAGGGGGCUAGCGUUGUCCGGAAUCAUUGGGCGUAAAGAGCGUGUAGGCGGCCCGGUAAGUCCGCUGUAAAAGUCAAAGGCUCAACCUUUGAAUGUCAGCGGAUACUGCCGGGCUAGAGUCCGGAAGAGGCGAGUGGAAUUCCUGGUGUAGCGGUGGAAUGCGCAGAUAUCAGGAGGAACACCAACGGCGAAGGCAGCUCGCUAGGACGGUACUGACGCUGAGACGCGAAAGCGUGGGGAGCAAACAGG
rnacentral:rRNA from 1 species